rnacentral:rRNA from 1 species
AGUGAACGCUGGCGGUAGGCCUAACACAUGCACGUCGAACGGCAGCACAGGAGAGCUUGCUCUCUGGGUGGCGAGUGGCGGACGGGUGAGGAAUACAUCGGAAUCUACUCUGUCGUGGGGGAUAACGUAGGGAAACUUACGCUAAUACCGCAUACGACCUACGGGUGAAAGCAGGGGACCUUCGGGCCUUGCGCGAUUGAAUGAGCCGAUGUCGGAUUAGCUAGUUGGCGGGGUAAAGGCCCACCAAGGCGACGAUCCGUAGCUGGUCUGAGAGGAUGAUCAGCCACACUGGAACUGAGACACGGGCCAGACGCCUACGGGAGGCAGCAGUGGGGAAUAUUGGACAAUGGGCGCAAGCCUGAUCCAGCCAUACCGCGUGGGUGAAGAAGGCCUUCGGGUUGUAAAGCCCUUUUGUUGGGAAAGAAAUCCAGCUGGCUAAUACCCGGUUGGGAUGACGGUACCCAAAGAAUAAGCACCGGCUAACUUCGUGCCAGCCGCCGCGGUAA